rnacentral:lncRNA from 1 species
UGGUACAGCAUUUGCCUAUCCAUGUGCGAGGCCCUGGUUUCCAAACCCAGCACUGCAAAAAAAGAGAGAGAGAGAGAUUUAAAAUUGCAGUUGAGACACAUUUACACACACUGGGCAUUGCCCCUUCUGCUCUAUUUCCCAAUGGCUCCUGUCUAGCUGUGGUUCCUACCACCAUUUUCAAGAAAGACACUUGGGAUUCACAGACAAUGGAAGUCUAGAAUCCCGGCCUCAGACCCCUUUACUCCCCCUCUGUGGGCAGAGCCCCGUCGGUAGACUUUGGUGGAAAAGCAUGAUUCAGAUUUUGACUCACCCUUAAGGUCAGGCAGAGACAUGGCCUUCGACUUGUCUCUUCGGGUCUCAGUGCAGUGACAUGGAAUCCCACAGCCUGUGGCAUUGAGAAGGACUUGGAGCCACCCCAGGAGGGCCCAUGAGGGGCCACUCCCUCUCUUCCAACUGUGGCAUUUGAUGGGACUUCUCUCUGCCUCAGAAACCUUU